rnacentral:rRNA from 1 species
CUCCUGGCUGACGAGUGGCGGACGGGUGAGUAACGCGUAGGAAUCUGCCCAGUAGUGGGGGGCAACCUGGGGAAACCCAGGCUAAUACCGCAUACGCCCUACGGGGGAAAGCAGGGGAUCUUCGGACCUUGCGCUAUUGGAUGAGCCUGCGUCAGAUUAGCUUGUUGGUAGGGUAACGGCCUACCAAGGCGACGAUCCGUAGCUGGUCUGAGAGGACGAUCAGCCACACUGGGACUGAGACACGGCCCAGACUCCUACGGGAGGCAGCAGUGGGGAAUAUUGCACAAUGGGGGAAACCCUGAUGCAGCAAUGCCGCGUGUGUGAAGAAGGCCUGCGGGUUGUAAAGCACUUUCAGAUGGGAAGAAAAGCUUGAGGUUAAUACCUUCAAGUCUUGACGUUACCUUCAGAAGAAGCACCGGCUAACUCUGUGCCAGCAGCCGCGGUAAUACAGAGGGUGCUAGCGUUAAUCGG